GCAAGACUGCUCGCUCACAUUCAAUGAACAUCUGAGUAGCUUAAGUAAAAAUAUUCGAACCCGUAUUAACCUAGUAAAAAUGCAAGUUGGUACAGGCUGGGAUGACGAUGCUAAGAAUCUAAAGGAUAGCAAGUUUGGGCCAAGUCUAUAGUACAGUGGCGUAUGGGUCCAAAACACGGGAUGAUAGCUCACACGAUAAGAAAGUAGAUACGCAGCUUAACAGUGUAAUGAGAAUAAUUAGCGGAACUGUUAAAUCUACACCACUUCAAUGGUUACCAGUACUGGCAAACAUUAAACCGCCACUUAUACGAAGGAAUGAAGUACUCUUAAAAACCAUUAGGAAGUCUGAAGAUCAAAAAUGUUCACCCCUAUACCAGAUGCUGCUUCAUACACCUCAUCAGCGCUAAAAAUCCAGGAGUCCAGUGUCCUCGAAUAGUAAAAUUUCCAGUUCAGGACAAUGCUGAGGAAUGGUGAAAGAAUGGGCUAGCACUACUAUAUCAAACAGGAAACUUGUUCUCGACCCUAAUAUUGGAGUCCUAAGGAUGAACCUUCUUCAUAGCAAAUGGUGUACACUAAACAGAUUACGAACAGGCAAUGACAGGUGCGGCGCUUUCUAACAUAAAUGUGGGUUCCAAGACAAUUCAUCCUGUGAUUGUGGAAGCACGGAUAAAACGAUGGACCACAUUGUAACGGAAUGCCGGAAAAGAAAAUUUGGCCGGGUUUAUUUAAGGCCUACAUCAAGUGACGCCAGACGCAAUAGACUGGAUAGGUAACCUCGAUAUACGUCUAUGAAGCAAUUAUGUGAAUAAUUAAAAUUAAAAUUUUGUUUAG